GGGCGAUUAACUCAGCGGUAGAGUGCUUCCCUUACAAGGAAGAAGUCACUGGUUCGAUCCCAGUAUCGCCCA
rnacentral:tRNA from 1 species